AUUUAUAUUAAUUUACUCACGAGUUAUGUAUAAUUUAUUAACAGACCGAUAUCAAAUUUUCUGGUUUAGAGGCUGCAGCUUUCUGUGGAGAAGUGUUUUCUGAAUCUUCUGUCAAUGCUGAAGGAGCACACCGCAAAGCGACCCUGGAACCUGAAAACAGUUACAAGAUUUUGACAUCAUGGCAUCCUGUGAUAUAUUUAUAAUACUGAUAAGUCUCAGUGUUAUACAAGCACGAGCGCACGUACUUGAUGACGUCAUAUCGUCGGUGUUCCGAGGGUACAAGAGUGAAGUGCGGCCAUAUUGUAACAAAGCAAACAACACGGUGGUGGUAACCAUUGAUAUCGGCGUCAGGCAGGUUGUGGAUCUGAAUGAACCUAAACAAACUAUCAACAUCGGAGCCUGGAUGAGAAUGAACUGGCUAGACUGUAGACUGAGAUGGAACAAAACUCUGUUUAACGACAUUGAGACUUUUGCUGUACCGCAAAAUAAAAUUUGGAUUCCUGACGUCACUCUGUACGAUACUGAUGCAGUGGCUGGACUCCCCGGUAUGAGAGACUACCGGGCUGUUGUUCAUAGCAGUGGCGCAGUGAAAUACCAGUUUCCUUCCAACAUUAAAGCUUCCUGUAAAAUCGACGUCUUUCACUUCCCCUUUGACACUCAGACCUGUCGUCUCGUGUUCGGUUCCUGGAUCUACACGGGCUCCGAGGUGAACCUUGUCAACAAAAGCGACACAAUGGAUAUGUCUAGCUUCUUAGAAAACACAGAGUGGGAGGUCGUCAGAGCAGACGCUAUGAAUGUCGUCAACUAUUACGGAGACCAGAUCUACCCAACUUUCGAAUGCGUGUUAAGGUUGAGGAGAAAACCUCUGUUCUACGUCAUGAACCUGCUAUUUCCUUGCUUUGUGGUGUCUUUCAUGGCUGCCCUGGGUUUUGUGCUUCCACCAGAAGCUGGGGAGAAGGUGAAUCUAGAGAUAACAAUCUUGCUGUCCCUGGCUGUUUUUCAGUUAGUUAUUGUGAACAUGAUUCCAGCUUCCGGAGAAAAGGCACCAUUGCUAGCAAUAUAUUUCUUGGCGUCCAUGGUGUUGGUAGGAUUUUCCUGUCUCAUGACCGUUGUUGUCCUAAACAUACAUUACAAAAACAACGGGCGAGUCUCACCGCGAAUCAGGAAAUACGUCAUCCGACCGCUCAAGAAGAUCACAUGUUUACACACAGAACAAAAGCAUGACAAAAAUGAUAAUUUGUACACCACGCAGUAUGAUAACGAAGAAACCGUAUUCAAGAAUUGUCAACGCAAACCUGUUGAUAUCAACUCAGAUGAGAACAAUGAGCACCCCAAAGGGACGAGAUUUCAAAAACAAUUACUAGAUAUUCUGAUUGAGAUCAGAGAUUGCAUUUCGUCAAUUGUGGCCAAUCAAAAGAGGGACUCUGAGCCUUCUGAUUGGUCAAUUUUAGCCAUUGCCUUGGAUCGAAUUUUUCUGAUUGGAUACUUAGUGUUCACGUUUGUGGUGUCACUCUCCAUAAUGCUUACUGCUUCAUCUGGAGACUGAUUGCACAAGAAAGCAUGCAAUUUUUCGUAAAGAUGAGUUAGGUAAAUGGUGACACUGUGUACCGUUUGGCUAGUAUGAAAUAAUUAACAAAAUAGAUUUAUUCAUUUACAACCUUUAAAAUGUCAUCGGUGCAAAUAAUUAUACUUUGCACAUGUAAUAGACCAUAAAAAGAUAUUCAAAACUAUUGCUAUAUUCUUUGAUUUUGAACAAUAUAUUUUAGCUGCUCUGUGAGAGAGAAAUAUUAUCUUUGAGACAAUGAUGUCUUUGAAAUCUUGAAAUGCGAAAUAUAUAUACACGUGCCGACAGAUUUGACUAAAGAGAUAAGUAGAUCAAAGAAAUUCUACCAAUAUUUUUUUUUUCAUUUUACAUAACUAUAUAAUUCAAACCAAUGUGUAGACAAUAGGAUUGAUUUUAUUUCUUUUAAGGUUGUCAAAGUCUUAACUGUUAUUGUGUUUGCUCAAGUUUCGCGAGCGCCUAGUUGAAUAAAUAUAGUAUGUAGAUUAUGGUAUGCUUUUCAAUUGAUAAAAAACACUGUGUAUGCAAAUGCAUUUUUUUUUUUGUUUUUUUUGUUUUUUCAUCAUUACACACAUGUGGUUGUCGUUAGAUUGUGUUCUAGAAUACAGGGUAUUUGAAACACGUACAAUACAAAAUAGUUCU
rnacentral:misc_RNA from 1 species